UUUCCCCUCCCUGUUGCUGAGUCCCAAUCCGCACCAACCCUAGCCGCCAUGCACAACUCCUUUGGCCAUCCGCACCAACCCUAAGCCGCCAUGGACAUCUCCUUUGGCCACAUCUCGGUCUACGGAGUUGUGAUGGGUGUCAAUUUGUCUUGCUCCUCAAUCUUAGCAGAUGAUGAAUUUGCCUGUUGUGAUUGGGAGCAAGGCAUGUCGGGUGGGGGAGCCAGGCCGAGGUUGCAACCAAGCACCUCACUUCAUCAGAACAACAGAGUCAACAGGGAGCAGAUCAACUCUGAAACUACUGAAAAGUUCCAAGUUUUCAGUUCCAAAUUUUAGCAUUGGAAGCCUCAAGGCUCACAUCGUACUAGAGAUCAUGCCGGUAGGCAAGUAGAGUGAAUGAAGGCAGAUGUUUUUAGCAGUUAUGUUCGCUACCAACGUGUUAUCAUCUACUGACACUAGUGUAGUGUAAAAAACGUUCUUAUAUUAUGGGACGGAGGGAGUACUCCUUUUUUUGUGUGCCUACCACUUGCAGAAAAGACUGAUUGUACAUCAUCGAUUCCAUCUGGAUUAUGCCUAGGGCACUCUGGCCCCACAUUCUCCAUGAGCAAAUAGGUGAGGAAGCCUGAGUGAGAUCCCAUCCUCGUCGCCCUAGUGAAGAAACCUUUGCAGGAAACCUGGUAUUCCCUCUCGCCUAUCUGCUACGCCGACCCGUGUGCAAGGAAGAGUUCUAAUACUCAUCUUGAUUCGGAAAACAAGCUUAUUGGACAGAAAUGUAGAAGGUAUAUGUGUGAUAAUAUUUUGCAGUUCAUCCUUAUAUAACUGAGAGCCGUGCCAUAAUGACCACCUAGCUUCAUAAUUAGCGGGGGAAAUAUAAAAAGCUGAACAUCCACUGUCACAUUUUAUUCAUUCGGUAACAGAUGCAGAUGGACUUCAAAUGCAGUGUAUAGUUCAUCUCCUACUCGGAGUGCCAAACCCAACUAAAGAACUGCUAUCUGAACUUGGUUGGCAUAACGAAUGCCAACAUGCAGAAAUAACACAAAACAAUAUAUUACGACACAAAUGUAUAAAAUAGCCAAUUGGUAUACCAGUCAUAGCACUAGAGGCUUAACUAUUUUUGCUCACAUCAAUAGGACACAAUUCAUUUGUUUUAGCCUUAUCAUUCUUCCUCGGUACGGAGUUGCACAAGCAUGCUAGGAAUGUUUUUUCUUCCUGAAAUUAUGGUAUUUUGCACAUACACACCAAGAUUAUGGUAUUUUGGACAAUACAUACCAGUAACAGUGCAACACUUCAUAUGCAUGCACUUCUUGGACAGACAAAUGCCAAACUGUCAUGAGAUGAGUAUAUAAAUGCUAUGUGCAAUACAUGUUAUAGGGACGGACAAUCACAAAUGUAAUAAUUAGACUCAAUAUAUGUUGAUGGAAGAUAUUUGUAGUAGUUGUGUUCACUACCAUUGCAUUUUUAUUAUCAUCUACUCCCUUUUUUUGGCACUACUUCUUAUACUAGUGUAAAUUGGGGUGGAUCUAGGCCCUAGACUGGCGAGGCUACAUCUUGUGACUUGCAUAAAAGAUUGAUUGAUACAUUAUCAAAUGCAUCUGGAUUUGCCCAGGGCACUCUGGCCCAUAGCCGACACUUUCACCAUGAGCAAAGAGGAAGCACGAGCAAGAUGCCAUCCUCAUUGCCCUACUGAAGAAACCUUGGGAGGAAACACUCGUACGAUGCACCUGGCAUUCUCUCUCGCCUGUCUGCUACGCCGACCCAUGUGCAAGGAGGGAGCGAGGCCAUGUCGAGUGAAGGAACUGGGCGGAGGUUGCAAUGGGAACAGCUUCGCUGACAUAAUAACUAGAUGAUUUGAGGCUGAGGAGAUGGUACGACAAUAGAUGAGGAUGAUGAGAUGAAUAGAUUGAUUGUGCAUUACCGAUUGGCACUCUAGCCCAAAGCUGACGUGUUCUCUACGAGCAAAGAGCUGAGGAAGCCCAAGCGGGAUGCCAUCCUCGUUGCCUAGUGAAGAAACUCUGGGAGGAAACACUGUGAUGCACCUGCAUUCCCUCUCGCCUAUCUGCUAGCCCAACCCAUGUGCAAGAAAAGAUUGAUUGUACAUUACCGAUUGCAUCUGGAUCUUCCUAGGGCAUUCUGGCCCACAGCCGACGUGUUCUCUGCGAACAAAGAGCUGAGGAAGCCCAAGCGGGAUGCCAUCCUCAUUGCCCUAGUGAAGAAACCCGGGAGGAAACACUCAGACGCACCUGCAUUCCCUCUCACCUCUCUGCUACCCCAACCCAUGUGCAAGAAAAGAUCGACUGUACAUUACCCAUUGCAUCUGGAUAUGCUCAGGGCACCCUGGCCCACAGCCGAUGCAUUCUCCACGUGCAAAGAGCCGAGGAAGCAUGUCUUCAUUGCCUUGGGAGGAACCCCCUGCCGUUCCCCUGCCUAUGUGCAAACUGUGAUGAUUCUAUACCAUCAUUUUGUAUGAACUUCGAUAUGCAAAAAUAGAUGGUAGUACAAGCGAGUGUUGUAACAGCAAGAUAGUGCUGAUUUCGAUUUGUCAAAGCUGGAACAAGCCAGUUCCCCAUUUGUCCAUGCAGAGUUCCAGAGACAAUUUGUAUGAGAAACGUAGCAGAAACAAGACACGUUUGUAUGAUAACAAAGAAUACGACGAAUGUCUGAUUUCGAUCUACUUCAAA